GUUUGUUCACUCACUUUCUGUGAAAAGAGUUUUGAAAUGUAUUCUGAAUAGACAGCAUUUUCUUUGUGUAGUUGGUAAAUAACGGAGAGCAAAGUUAGUCAGCAAGUUACAUAGUUUCUGCAUUCUGAUUCUUUGGAGCCCUUUUGUAUCGAGCCUGGGCAGGAUGUUUUUAACAGAAUGUGACCUCACAAGCAUGCUAGAGAAAAGAAUCUUGGAUUGGACUGUGUGGCGAAAUCAAAAAAGAAAUAGCAUAAGAGAAAUUGAGGGUAAUUCCACAUAUCCAGGAAAAGACUGCUCGGUGCACAUCUGUAGAGAAUCACCAGGGAAAGGUGACUCAGCUUGUUGCUGUUUUGGACUUGUGAUUUAAUCAGUCUGAAUUUAUCUCUGCUGAUCUUCAAUCUUAGAUAAUUGCCUGGAAACAUUAAGGAGAAGAGACCAUGGUCAAACAGCUAGUAAGUGACAGAGGUAUUCCUUAUUCCAAGGCAACCUUCAAUCCAAGACACCACAGUGCUU
rnacentral:lncRNA from 1 species